rnacentral:rRNA from 1 species
UACGUAGGGGGCAAGCGUUGUCCGGAAUCAUUGGGCGUAAAGCGCGUGUAGGCGGUUACGUAAGUCUGCUGUGAAAGUCGGAGGCUCAACCUUCGAAAGCCGGUGGAUACUGCGUGACUAGAGUACGGAAGAGGAGAGUGGAAUUCCUGGUGUAGCGGUGAAAUGCGCAGAUAUCUGGAGGAACACCGGUGGCGAAGGCGGCAUCCUGGACCGGCAUUGACGCUGAGGCGCGAAAGCCAGGGGAGCAAACGGG